UAAUAUUACACAAAUUUAUUAGAGCAAUUCAUUAAUAUUAAAAAGACAAUUAAAAGUUCUAUCAAACAAAAUGAUCAAGGAACAAUUUAUUAAAAAUUCAUAAUAAAUAGGAAUUCUAUACAUAUGAAAUGCCAAAAAAAAAAAAAAGCCAACACAAUUCAAAUGUCUUCGAGCUCGUCCUUGGCUAGUUUCAUUUCCUUUUGAAGAAUAUGACCUUAGAAUGCAGCCACAAACUUUCAUAAGAAGAUAAUAUUGGCUGCCCACCAAGUGUGGCUCCUUUUGUACAGUUUCAUAGGAAGGCUCAUUAUUAUCUUCAGCGUAUUUGUUACUACCUACAAAAGAAAUUCAGGGUGAUUUGUUAGAAAUUUAGAUACCAUGAAAUGAAAUGAUGUAAUCAUGCCAAUGCGUUUUUAAAUAUUACGAUAAUAAUGAUGACUAAAAUUAUCUUCUUUCAUGUGUAAGUGCUAAAUAUUAAAACUAAUCAACACAUAUUAACAACAGAUGGAAAAUAUAAGGAAGUAAAACUUUCUCUACUGAUUAUUUAUUAAUCGUAUUCUCUAUAAAAGAACAAACUUCCUAAAUACCAUAUCAUACUGCACAUUGAUGGAAGUAUAGUUUGAAAAUAUUAAGAUUUGAAAUAAUUCCUGAGUUAAUGGUAUAAACAUGAGUCAUGUUUCAUAUUUCCAGAUUGUCCUAAUUUUCACUAUGUUCUCUCUCUGUUUCUCAUAAAAGGUGCUCUUCCAACUAUAAUUUACUAAUUUUAAAAUGAAACUACUAGAUGGUGAACAACAAAGUGAACUCCCACAUGCUAAAAGGUGAACAGACAUUCAGGCAACGUGCAGAUUCUUUGUUCAUUUUCAGAAACAAGUGUUAAAAAUUGACUACAUAAAUGAGCUACCAAGGAGUCGUGAGUCGUGACUAAGCCUAGUUGCAAAGUGUAAGUAUCACUAAGUGGUCUUCUUACUAAAAAGACCACUAAGUCACUAAGUCGUGACUUUGGUGUCUCACUGAUCACACAAAGUCAGAAGCUGUGGAAGGGAAAAUGCAUGGCCAACAAUCUGGAACAAGAAGUGAUAACUGACUAGGCAUACACAUCACAUAACCAGUCAAUAGAUGCAGUGUAAUUCCUCUGGUACUACUUAUGAGGCCUACAACUGUGACUCUAUAAAUAGCAUUAUGUGAUCCAUAAUGUUCCCGCAAUUAGCACUUCUGAUCAAGUGAUACAAUUGCUCAUUUCUAAUUGGUUUCUAAACGAGAAGAUCCUCAGGUAUUAAAAGGUUUAACAACGACAAACUUAAUCCGGGAAACUUGCAAGUGUCUUAAAUCACUUCUUACACAUAUGCCUAUGGCUUCAUUGCAUCAUUCUAGUCUUCUAAGAAACUUAAUUUAACCACAGAGAAUCAAAAGGUGCGGGUAUCCUGAUAUACGGAAGCUGCUAGAGAUGGAGGCUAAGAUGAGCAUGGAAAGAUCUCUAAUAGCCCAACUGUAUGCCAAAUGCAAAGAGGCAAAAGCUGUAACAUUACUUGAUUCAUGAUCGCACUUUACCUUUGAAGAAACAAUUCUUCGAUCAUAGGAAAAGCAUGUCUUGUGUAAUGACAUAAGAUAAGUGCCAACACUCUUGAUGUUAUCAAUUAUGAGAUACGUGCUUCAAUGUUAAAAAGGAGAGGCAGCACCAAACAACCAAAUUGUUUUAAUUUGUGAUGUGGCAUUGAAGCUGGCAUAUGGAAGCAUCCCACCUAAGGAAGAGGAAUCACGCAUAUCCUUCAACAGAUCAGGUGGAAUCUGAUACAUUGACUGAAAGAAGUCGUGGCUGAAAGAAAAACUUACAUAUGAUUCGGACAUUGAAAAGUAUGAAUAUUUAACAGCCUUAAAAUACAAGGAGCCAAAACAAUAUUUACAACGAAGAAGCUAUGCACACAGCAAGAUAGACACAGAGAUGCAACUUCAAAGAUACAACCAGAGAACCUCUAAUAUACUCAAAUUUAUGAAGGCCACCAUCUUCACAAGUAAGAUGAUCCGUCAUCCAACCCAGUUUACUGAUACCAUGGAAAUUCAAGCACGAGGUUGGUUCACAUUUAUUCUGUCAGUAACUGGAAGGUCCCUGAGAAGAGAAAAAAAAGAGCCCCUAAAGAAAGCACAGGAUGUGAGCAGGAUAUCAGUAUCAAAAGUGAUGAGAUACCCGGUGAUUUCUAUAAAGGAGUGGAAAUCCAAAAUCGAAAUCAUAUUACUAACUGGAAAAGUGCAAGUGAAAUACAUAUUGAUAUAUGAAACACUUCAACAUUGAGUAGGUACUAGAGCCACAAAGCCGCUUAGAACGGUAAAAGGAAAGACAACAGGGUGGAGACAAUCCUCUAGCUCGAACUAAUAAUUUUUACUCGUUUAUAAAAUCAAAAGUACACCAAGAUGAGCAGCUCACAGGAUUGGACUAAAAGAAAAGCUAAACCAAUCAGAUAAGUUUAUUGCAUGUCAUAUAGGACAGUGUUCUUUUGAUAGAUAAGUAAGAAAAUCAACAUGCCACACAGACAGUAGUAUGACAUCCUUUCAUAGAUUUAAACAAAUGAUUAUCGAAAAAGAAUUGGAGUCUUGCACAGGUGUAUGGAAAGUGUCGCAUGAAGGUAUCUCGAGGAUACUGAAAUGAGUGGUGCAUUCUCUAGCCUGAUAUUUGCUGCCCUUACAGCUACAAUCUUCUUCAAUUUCGAGUUGUACUGCUAAAUAUAUACAAUAUGUUCUGCAUUGUUUGUCUCGCCACAUUAAUUUAAGGAUAUAAAUAAUGUUCUGCAUUAUGUCCUGUCUUCGUCUUACCCAUAUAGAUUACACUCUAUUCAAAGAGGAAAACAGAACGGAGUACUUCAAUUUUUCAUAUUGCUUCUACUCUUUCUUCCUCCCAAAACCAAUCAAAGAACCAAAUACCAAGAAAAAAGAUACAAGGUCAAAAAGAAAAACACAAGCAUGUGUACAGCGAGAGCGGAAGAGAAGCAAAAUCAAGAAUUGAAAUAAACAAAAGAAAAGCAGAACAAAGAAUUGAUAGAAAUAAAAAUGUAAGGAGACAACUAAUUAGAUGUAGUAACAAUACAUACACAAUUAAGUGGCUAAAUAAAAUUCAUCAUUAAAAGCAGAACAUAAAUGAUAACCAUGAGAACAAGGACUAGUUUUGACUUAACCUCAACAAAGGAAAUUUUCUCAAAUUGAAGAAAAGUGGCACUGGUCGCGGCCGGCCACCUGUUCUAUAAGCAGCAAUGAACAGAGCCAAAAACAUCAAGGGCAACAAAGCGAUAGUUGUUUAGAGAGCCAAAAAGUUUGACAAAAUGCAGAAACGGUGUAAUAACGAAACCCUAAGUUAGAAAGGAGUGACUUCAGCUUACCUCGAUGCAACAAUAUCUGCGAGAAUCAACGAAACCCUAGAAAUAAAGUCAGCAAGAACUGAAAUUGUCGGAAUUUGUUUAUUUUGUUGCUUCGGUAGCACAGAUUUGGAAUUGACGGGAAAUGUGAGUGAUGUGCAAGAGAAAAGUCAAAUUGACCCAAAAAGAAACUGAAUCAAACCAACACAAAAGAAAUGAUUGUACCUUAAUGUUACUCAAACUUCAACUUUUGGGAUAUGGACCUCCUUUAAAUCUCCUCCUCUUUUUAUAAAUGAGAUGGGUUUUCUUCUUGGCUGAGAGGACAUUGUGUCUCUGAUGGUAAAACAAUGCGAGUUAAACUCUUUUAGAUAAAGAAGACGAAAUAUGAAGGGCCCAGAG
rnacentral:lncRNA from 1 species